ensembl:misc_RNA 7SK 7SK RNA
GGAUGUGAGGAUGAUCUGGCUGGGGCAUCUGUCACCCCACUGAUUGCCAGGAUUGAUUGGGCUGACCUGGCCAGCUAGGCAGGUGUCCCUUCCUCCCUCACCCAUCCAUCUGGGUCCCUCUGGAAGCUGCAAGCUCAGUCAAAGAAGAUGGAGUUUCCCCAACAGAGACAGAUCCAUCUUCAGUCAAGGUUAUACGAGUAUCUGUGCUCCCCUGCUAGAACCUCCAAACAAUCUUUCAAGGAGGGUCUGAAGCAAAAGUUCCCUUGGGCAAAAGUCUAGACCUUCUUC